UAGAGUCUGUUAUAAUAUAUUCCAUGGGUAAACGGCAGGUAAUUGGAAGUUUAGAGCAUAAAACGGUAGGAAUUAAGUAUUGAAGGUGUACAAUUAAAACAGAUAUGCGCAUUCAUUAGGGCACUGUACCGCUUAAGACCCCGGGGGGGCCAUUUAGAAAAUGAUGGGCCGACAAAUCCGCUUACACGAUAGAAUGUGCAGUCGGUGGGUUUUUAAAGAAAACUCGGUUUGAUGGGGUUUAUCUGAUUGUGAUUAUGGUUCGACUUUCGUCCGACGGGGUGUCUGAUUGGGUCUAAUUUCUCGGGGAAAUGGUCAUUAAUCCACGGUAGCAAAAACGGCUCGAUCUGCUGUAGUCCCCACAACCGGACCACACUGGCACAGGAUGUCCAUGCCUGAGGGAUGCGCUCCUGUUGGACUGGAAAACAGAGACAUGGUCAGUGCUUCCUUUUCUGGUAAAUACAGGGCAACUUCUCUUUCCCACCGGAAAAUGGCAGCUACAGACCCAAGUGUUGUCACUGGGUUUCCGGUCCACCCAUCUGAAAGACCAAUUUUUUUUUUACUUUUACUAGCUAACUAAGUAGAUUAACAUCUGUAUUAAAAUACCAUAACCCACAAACUUGACUAUAGUAACGGUAAAAUAGACUGGGCUUUGUUCUAUCUGGAGAUCUAAAAUCCUACUAUGUGGAUGGGACAUUUCUGCUGGGAUGGAGGAAUUAUCUGGAAUGCUCAACUAGAUGAUCGGACAGUCUAGGGUACUAUUUGCCCGAAGAGGUGAAGUAUUGCAAUGAGCUAUAUGACUGUACUUCUAAUUCUAAUUCUCAAGAGGAAAGUUAAAACCCUCAGCCGUAAGGUCACUUAGGAGGACCAACAGUGAUAGGUGGAUCGUCUGAAAGGGACUGACAUGCAGGGAUGUAACAUAAGGAUUUGGGGCACUGGCCAGCAGACCACGAUUUCUACAUUCUGGUCCUAAAUCUGUGGCAUGCGAUGUUUGUAAAGGCAACAUUUUACUGCUGUGUCAGGCUAGUCAAUUAGCCCAGUCUGAAAAGUACUAGACUCAGGCUAGCUUAAUUUCCAUCCCUGCUGACAUUUCUAACUGACUUCACAGGUCAUUUGAUUAGUCAUGUACAACAGAUGCCCUCAUAGAACAAAACCGUUUCUGUGUUUUUGUAUGGGAAAAACAUUGAGCCCAUAAGUCCUUUGUGAGCUAGCUAGCUAGCCAACUUUAGCUAAUGUCGCUAACUAGCCAACCAAGGUGCCUAACUAGCUAGCCCACCAGGUGAUAUUUAGCUAGCUAACAUUAGUUCACAGUUCGUGUAGUCAGACUUUUCUAAGUGGUGACAUGCUAGCUAACCAACUAUCCUUGCCAUGGUGCCGGCCUAACGUUAGCUAGUCUGGUUUAUGGGUAUUAUGAUUCAUACUGUGGUACUCAAUUGUGGGAAGCUGUAUUGCCAGCCAAUCAUUAGGGUGUUUUUGUUUGACCCACGCGAACGUGACUAAAGACGUGACUGAAACAGGAACCAUCUUUGUCGCAAUUCAUUUAUACCACGUGUCAAACUCAUUUCACAGAGGGCUGAGUGUCUGCAGGUUUUCGCUCCACCCUGUACUUUAUGAAUUAAGGUUACUAAUUACUAAUUAGUAAGGAACUCCCUUCACUUGGUUGUCUAGGUCUUAAUCGAAAGGAAAAAACAAAAACCUGCAGCAUUUGGACCUCUGGGAACGCUCCGCAAAGCAGACUCGAAAGACCAGAACGGUUGUCACUAGUUACCACAGACACAAAAAUUCCCUUUUGGUCUUAAUAUAAGGUUAGGCAUAAGGUUAUCUGUGUGGUUAAGGAUAGCUAUGGUUAGGGUUAGGUUUAAACUCUGAUUUUUAGAAGAAAGUUACAGAUGCACAAACAUCACAAAGUGAUUCAUCCAUUGAUUCUGAGAGACAAUGACUAAAAAUAUGGCUUCGUUUUCUUUAUUUACUUACCCAUCACUGCUAGUGAAGCAAUGGGAGUGGUAGGGCCUAUGGCAGGAUGCUUCAAAAUGCAUGCCCAAAUCCUCAGUCACUUCAAACCAAAUGUUAUAGCAAACCAAAUACCAUAAGAAGUUACACAUAUAGAAUAUUGGAGGCUGUGGCGAUUUUAGCAUGUAAAUCUUGGUGGGGCAAAAAAAAAAAUGUUUUAGAUGCA